rnacentral:lncRNA from 1 species
GCUUUCUUUGAUUUCUGGGUUUCUCCUCGCUGUCAUUCCAUAAUUCUGGUACAUUUAUGGAGUGCCUAAUGCAUGCCAGUGAAUUGCUCCUGUGGCACCAUCAUGGUGAAGCUUCACCACACCCCAGCAAGUGUGCACCUGACAUUCCCGGUGAGGAAAAUUGCUGAGGAUCACAUAUCCAUCUCUGUUAUCCAUAUUGCCACUCUCUACGUCCAUGAGAUCAACCUUUUGGCUUCAACAUGUUAAGUCUGAGAGGACAGAAAGCCACUUAAAUCCAGGGCCCCUGCACCAAUGGAGUUCCCAGUAGAUUAAAAAUGGUUGAGUGGUUGGCAUGAGCAGAGAAGAAUUUACAGCCCAUUAUCAUCAAGUUUCCCAGCCCCUGAAGUAGUGUGGAAGAGUGAAGAAAGUUUUCCAUGCCCUUGGGAGGGGUGAAGAAGUGGCUGAGAGUGGCCAGAGACCCGAGAGGCCUUGCCAUCCAGACAAGAAGGCUCCAGUCCAGUGGCUGCCCAUCAGGCACGCUCUCCAUGGCCUCAUCACCAGCAGGACACUCACGUGGCUGGCAUGCGCGGUUCCUGAUCACAUGGCCCACUUUUGAAGGCUCCCGUCAGGGUCAGCUCCAGGUGAGCUUCUUGGGUCUUGGACAGACCUUACCCUUUUAUUUUAUUUAUUUAUUUAUUUAUUUUUUGAGACAGAAUCUCACUCUGUCACUCAGAGUGGUGUGUAGUGGUGAAAUCUUGGCUCACUGCAGCCUCAACCUCCUGGGCUCAAGCGAUUCUCCCACCUCAGCCUCCUAAGUAGCUGGGACUAUAGGCAUGCACCACCAUGCUGGCUAAUUUUUUUUGUAUUUUUAGUAGAGACGGGGUUUCACCAUGUUGGCCAGGCUAGUCUCAAACUCCUGACCUCAAGUGAUCCGCCUCCCAAAGUGCUGGGAUUACAGGCUUAAGCCACUGUGCCCAGCCAGAUCCUACUCUUUUAGUAGCUUCAGAUGGCAGAGUGUGGAAUGGUCGCUGUUGUCUCAAUUUCCCAGCCAAUGUAUUAAGCCUAUUUGAUUUAUGUGGCCAACGAUUCCUCAAACUCCAGGAUGGCCUUGAGGGGCACAGACGGCUUCAGAGAACUAGGCUGGAGCCCAAAUAUGGUUUUAGAAGAAUAAUGAGCU